UGCCCGGGAGGCGCGGAGAAGCCCCCCCAAAGCCGCCGGGAACCGUGACAUCGCUCCCGGGCAGAGCGGGCCCGAAGCCCCCAGAGCCCUGCAGGUCUCGCCCCGGGGCAGACUCACCUGUGCAGAAGGUUCCUCGGAUUCUCCCUGGGACAGGAGGCUGAGCCCUCCCCGAGCAGCGGCCCCGGCCGGUGGAGACUCGGCCCCAGCCUCCUUGGAGUCCCCCAUCGCCUCGGCCCAGAGGAGGCGAGGCAAAACGGGACCCGAGGAGCCGCGACAGGGAUCGGGCCCAGCUGCCGGGAGCCACAAGAGAACCAGCGUCUUAGACGCCACGCUCACUGCGCUUCCGGUUUCUGACCGGAAGGAGUUGCGGUGACGCGUUCAAAUCUCGCGAGCUUUAUGCCAGAGGCCCGGCGCCACCUUCUCCGGGGGCAGCCACCUUUGCGGCAAGGGCGGGAGCUGUAGUGCGCCUGCGCUCGUCGGAGCCGCUUCAGGAGACCACUUCUCGCGGUAUCUGGUCCUCAGGCUCCACCCCUCGCACGCUUUUCAUCUUUGUUGGCAAACAGGCAAUGAAGCCAGAAGCCACAGAUGCCGCCACUAUCCAUCUGCGCACUUGUGUUUACCACCCAGAAGGCAAGGACAUUGCACUCAAAAAGUGUCUGGACUUUUGUUCUUUCUCGUCACAAAGGACUUGAGUACCUCUGACCACUCACGUUUACCCCGAGUGAAAAGUGCCAGCGAUAUCCUUGAUUCCUGGAGCGCUUGGAGCUUCUGGUACAAAAGGCAUUUCAUAAGCACCAAGUGGAAAAGCAUCAUUUAUAUUCAUUUGCUGCUGUGGCAUUUCUCUCUGGAAUCUUCUUCUUGUCUGUCAACAUUGUGCAAAAAGACUGGCCUCAUCUACGUUACAAAUACCAUUCUUUUAAUGGUCUGGAAGUAGGAAAGAGCACAGGAACCUGGGCGAAGGGCUCAGGGAGGGAGAAAUCUGAGGCUUCGUGUUGGAGGAUCUGGGCUUGUUUGUCCCUAAAACUGGGUGGACAUCAUCAAAGCGGAAAGUACCGCAGUGCUUGGCGCAUUCUGCCUACGAUGAUGUGUGUGAUCCCAUUGCAGUGACUCUCGGGAGGACCGAGGCCACAAGGAAUAUCCUCCAAGGGGUCAUGCAGGAUGGAACCGGUCUUUCCGUGCACAGGGUGGUUCGCACUGGCCUCCACCUGCCACAGGGAUGCUUCUGGAGAGGAGACAUUUCCCCUGUGCUAUCCCCUGGGACCCCUGGCAAACGCAUCCUCGCAGGGGACUCUACUUAGUGCGAUUUAAGAAACAACAAGGACUGUCCCAGAAGAGCUCGGGACGCGACUUACCACACACAUGGGCUAGGGGUUGCCAGCCGGGUUAGUUGAAGUGGAGCCCAGCUCUGAGGGGCUUCCAUUCCCAUCUGGGAGUGUUCUAGAACAUGGGACAUUACCCAAGGGGCAGAGCCUGCGAUGGUGUUACUUGGGCCAAAGGUCUGAGGGUGGGGGCCAUAUAAAUGAGUGGAGGUGAGUGUAGAUUUGGGGGGGACAGGAGCUUGGGGGGCAGAGGUGCAGCCACACCUGGAGGAAGAGAGACUACCUGUGCCGGGGGCCUCCUCCGAGUCUGCAAACCAAUUGCUGCUUCUCCCCCUUUGCCUUCUUCUUCAGAUCUUUCCAUCACAAAAAUUUCAAAGAUACACCUAAGUAGAGAGAAUGGUAAAGUGAACCCGUGAACACCUGUCACCAUCACCCACUUUGAACAGUCAUCAGCACACCUCCGGUCUGCCUCCCCCUUCCUCCAAUUAUUGUUGAAAUUAGUUCAUUCUUAACCAUUUUUAAUUUCA